UGACAAUUCUGCACAAUGUUUUGAUAGAUACUAUUCAUGUAAGAUAAACGUGUCUAAUUCUGCUGCAGGGAAGAUAGGCAAGACACGGAUGGAACUGCUUAAGUACUAAAUGUUAGGUUACAUGCUAGGCAAAUCAUGGUUGGAACUGUUUAAGUAAUAAAUGUUAGGUUACAUGUUAGGCAAAUCAUGGUUGGAACUGUUUAAGUAAUAAAUGUUAGGUUACAUGUUAGGCAAAUCAUAGUUGGAACUCUUUAAGUAAUAAACAAAAAGAGAGAGAAAAUGAGUUUCCUAACAAGUUAAAAUAUAACUUUUUUUUAGUGAUGCUAAAAUCAGU